rnacentral:rRNA from 1 species
GACGAACGCUGGCGGCGUGCUUAACACAUGCAAGUCGUACGGUAAGGCCCUUUCGGGGGUACUCGAGUGGCGAACGGGUGCGUAACACGUGAGUAACCUGCCCACAACUUUGGGAUAACGCUAGGAAACUGGUGCUAAUACUGGAUAUGUGCUCCUGCUGCAUGGUGGGGGUUGGAAAGCUCCGGCGGUUGUGGAUGGACUCGCGGCCUAUCAGCUUGUUGGUGGGGUAGUGGCCUACCAAGGCGGCGACGGGUAGCCGGCCUGUGAGGGUGACCGGCCACAUUGGGACUGAGGUACGGCCCAGACUGCUAAGGGAGGCAGCAGUGGGGAAUAUUGCACGAUGGGCGCAAGCCUGAUGCAGCAACGCCGCGUGCGGGAUGACGGCCUUCGGGUUGUAAACCGCUUUCAGCAGGGACGAAGCUUUUUGUGACGGUACCUGCAGAAGAAGCACCGGCUAACUACGUG